rnacentral:rRNA from 1 species
UGACGACCGGCGCACGGGUGCGCAACGCGUAUACAAUCUGCCCCCUACUGUGGGAUAGCCCAGAGAAAUUUGGAUUAAUACCACAUGGUACCAUAUUACGGCAUCGUAUUUAUGGUUAAAGGUUACGGUAGGGGAUGAGUAUGCCGGUUCCCCAUUAGUUAGUUGGUGAGGUAACGGCUCACCAAGACCGCGAUGGGUAGGGGCCCUGAGAGGGGGAUCCCCCACACUGGUACUGAGACACGGACCAGACUCCUACGGGAGGCAGCAGUGAGGAAUAUUGGACAAUGGGCGGGAGCCUGAUCCAGCCAUGCCGCGUGCAGGAAGAAUGCCCUAUGGGUAGUAAACUGCUUUUAUACGGGAAGAAAAAGGGCUACGUGUAGCCUACUGACGGUACCGUAAGAAUAAGGACC